UGCGGGGUGGAGCAGUCUGGUAGCUCGUCGGGCUCAUAACCCGAAGGUCGCAGGUUCAAAUCCUGCCCCCGCUA
rnacentral:tRNA from 5 species